rnacentral:rRNA from 1 species
CCUACGGGGGGCUGCAGUAGGGAAUUUUCCACAAUGGACGAAAGUCUGAUGGAGCAACGCCGCGUGCAGGAUGAAGGCUUUCGGGUCGUAAACUGCUUUUAUGAGUGAAGAAUAUGACGGUAACUCAUGAAUAAGGGUCGGCUAACUACGUGCCAGCAGCCGCGGUCAUACGUAGGACCCAAGCGUUAUCCGGAGUGACUGGGCGUAAAGAGUUGCGUAGGUGGUCGGUAAAGCGAAUAGUGAAAUCUGGUGGCUCAACCAUUCAGGCUAUUAUUCGAACUCACCGACUCGAGAGCAGCAGAGGUAACUGGAAUUUCUGAAGUAGGGGUAAUAUCCGUAGAUAUCAGAAGGAACACCAAUGGCGUAGGCAGGUUACUGGGCUGUUUCUGACACUGAGGCACGAAAGCGUGGGGAGCGAACCGGAUUAGAUACCCUUGUAGUC